rnacentral:rRNA from 1 species
UACGAAGGGGGCUAGCGUUGCUCGGAAUGACUGGGCGUAACGGGCGCGUAGGCGGCGGACACAGUCAGAUGUGAAAUUCCCGGGCUCAACCUGGGGGCUGCAUUUGAUACGUGUUUGCUUGAGUGGGGAAGAGGGUCGUGGAAUUCCCAGUGUAGAGGUGAAAUUCGUAGAUAUUGGGAAGAACACCGGUGGCGAAGGCGGCGACCUGGUCCUUGACUGACGCUGAGGCGCGAAAGCGUGGGGAGCAAACAGG